CGGUAAAACGUAGGGGGCGAGCGUUAUCCGGAUUUAUUGGGCGUAAAGCGCAUGUAGGCGGUCUUCUAAGUCGGACGUGAAAGCUCCUGGCUCAACUGGGAGAGGUCGUUCGAAACUAGGAGACUUGAGGGUGGUAGAGGAGAGUGGAAUUCCCGGUGUAGUGGUGAAAUGCGUAGAUAUCGGGAGGAACACCAGUGGCGAAGGCGGCUCUCUGGGCCAACCCUGACGCUCAGAUGCGAAAGCUAGGGGAGAGAACGGGAUUAGAAACCCCGGUAUUCCUAGCCGUAAACGAUGUCAACUAGGCGUAGGGGGUUAUUGACCCCUCCUGUGCUGCAGCUAACGCAGUAAGUUGACCGCCUGGGGACUACGGCCGCAAGGCUAAAACUCAAAGGAAUUGACGGGGACCCGCACAAGCAGCGGAGCGUGUGGUUUAAUUCGAGGCUACGCGAAGAACCUUACCAGGGUUUGACAUGCUGGUGGUAGUGAAGCGAAAGCGGAACGACCCUUCGGGGAGCCAGCACAGGUGCUGCAUGGCUGUCGUCAGCUCGUGCCGUGAGGUGUUAGGUUAAGUCCUGUAACGAGCGCAACCCUCGUCGUUAGUUACAUGUGUCUAACGAGACUGCCGGUGAUAAGCCGGAGGAAGGUGAGGAUGACGUCAAGUCAGCAUGGCCUUUAUAUCCUGGGCUACACACACGCUACAAUGGCCGGUACAAUGGGCAGCUAAGUCGCGAGACGGAGCCAAUCCUUCAAAGCCGGUCUCAGUUCGGAUUGUAGGCUGCAACUCGCCUGCAUGAAGUCGGAGUUGCUAGUAAACGCGCGUCAGCAACAGUGCGUUGAAUACGUUCCCGGG
rnacentral:rRNA from 1 species